rnacentral:rRNA from 1 species
AGGCAGCAGUGGGGAAUAUUGCACAAUGGGGGGAACCCUGAUGCAGCGACGCCGCGUGGGUGAGGAAGUACUUCGGUAUGUAAAGCCCUAUCAGCAGGGAAGAAAAUGACGGUACCUGACUAAGAAGCCCCGGCUAACUACGUGCC